GACGAACGCUGGCGGCGUGCUUAACACAUGCAAGUCGAACGGAAAGGCCCUGCUUUUGUGGGGUGCUCGAGUGGCGAACGGGUGAGUAACACGUGAGUAACCUGCCCUUGACUUUGGGAUAACUUCAGGAAACUGGGGCUAAUACCGGAUAGGAGCUCCUGCUGCAUGGUGGGGGUUGGAAAGUUUCGGCGGUUGGGGAUGGACUCGCGGCUUAUCAGCUUGUUGGUGGGGUAGUGGCUUACCAAGGCUUUGACGGGUAGCCGGCCUGUGAGGGUGACCGGCCACAUUGGGACUGCGAUACGGCCCAGACUCCUACUGGAGGCAGCAGUGGGGAAUAUUGCACAAUGGGCGGGAGCCUGAUGCAGCAACCCCGCGUGCGGGAAGACCGCCUUCGGGUUGUAAACCGCUUUCGGCUGUGACGAAGCGUGAGUGACGGUAAUGGGUAAAGAAGCACCGGCUAACUACGUG
rnacentral:rRNA from 1 species